CAGGUUAUCAUGGCACAGAGGUAUAUCUACUCUCCAUGGUGUCUAACACCAGGUUAUCAUGGCACAGAGCUAUAUCUACUCUCUAUGGUGUCUAACACCAGGUUAUCAUGGCACAGAGCUAUAUCUACUCUCCAUGGUGUCUAACACCAGGUUAUCAUGGCACAGAGCUAUAUCUACUCUCCAUGGUGUCUAACACCAGGUUAUCAUGGCACAGAGGUAUAUCUACUCUCCAUGGUGUCUAACACCAGGUUAUCAUGACACAGAGGUAUAUCUACUCUCCAUGGUGUCUAACACCAGGUUAUCAUGGCACAGAGCUAUAUCUACUCUCCAUGGUGUCUAACACCAGGUUAUCAUGGCACAGAGUUGUCUCUACUCUCCAUUGGGUUCUUUACACCAGGUUAUCCUGGCACAGAGCUAUAUCUACUAUCCAUGGCGUCUAACACCAGGUUAUCAUGACACAGAGCUAUAUCUACUCUCCAUGGUGUCUAACACCAGGUUAUCAUGGCACAGAGCUAUAUCUACUCUCCAUGGUGUCUAACACCAGGUUAUCAUGGCACAGAGCUAUAUCUACUCUCCAUGGUGUCUAACACCAGGUUAUCAUGGCACAGAGCUAUAUCUACUCUCCAGGGUGUCUAACACCAGGUUAUCAUGACACAGAGGUAUUUCUAUUCUCCAUGGUGUCUAACACCAGGUUAUCAUGACACAGAGGUAUAUCUACUCUCCAUGGUGUCUAACACCAGGUUAUCAUGGCACAGAGCUAUAUCUACUCUCCAUGGUGUCUAACACCAGGUUAUCAUGGCACAGAGCUAUAUCUACUCUCCAUAGUGUCUAACACCAGGUUAUCAUGGCACAGAGCUAUAUCUACUCUCCAUGGUGUCUAACACCAGGUUAUCAUGGCACAGAGUUAUAUCUACUCUCCAUGGUGUCUAACACAAGGUUAUCAUGACACAGAGCUAUAUCUACUCUCAAUGGUGUCUAACACCAGGUUAUCAUGGCACAGAGGUAUAUCUACUCUCCAUGGUGUCUAACACCAGGUUAUCAUGGCACAGAGCUAUAUCUACUCUCCAUGAUGUUUAGCCCGGUACAUGGCUGCUUGCAUGACGCAUGGUUAUCAUGGCCAAAGUCGACCAGUCAGUAAAUGUAGGGACGUUAGUUGAUUACAAGACAAGCUCACUAAUACAAGAGAAAUAAACACUGAAAUUGAAAUAAAUGAUUAAAUAUUAAGUAUAUCGUUACAAAGAAACCGUAAAAGCCGAUUAACGGGAUCGGGUGGUCAGACUCGAUGACAUGGUUGAUGCUCAUGAUGUCAAUCACUGGAUCGUCUGGCCAUGACUCGAUUAUUUACAGAUCGCCGUCAUAUGGCUGGAAUAUUGCUGAUUGUGGCGUUAAACAACAAACAAACAAGCAAAAAAAAAGCUGAACAUAAACACGCUCUACAGGUCCAGGCAGCUGUUUCACCUUGUUACCGGAUAAAGAUUGUGUGAUUCCUGAGCAGACAGUGAGGGCGCAUUAUUCCAUGAUCUCUUGCUCUGUGUGUUCCUGGGGCAUAGACUAUUUGAACAAUAUGUUGCGUUUUUGCGUAAAAUUGGUAAGUUUGAACCAGUCCAAUAGACCAUGGGAUCGAUUGUGUUUGUACAUAAAAUAAAAUAAUAAUAAUGCA